UACGUAGGGGGCAAGCGUUGUCCGGAAUCAUUGGGCGUAAAGAGCGUGUAGGCGGCCCGGUAAGUCCGCUGUAAAAGUCAAAGGCUUAACCUUUGAAUGUCAGUGGAUACUGCCGGGCUAGAGUCCGGAAGAGGCGAGUGGAACUCCUGGUGUAGCGGUGGAAUGCGCAGAUAUCAGGAGGAACACCGGUGGCGAAGGCGGGUCUCUGGGCCGAUACUGACGCUGAGGAGCGAAAGCGUGGGGAGCGAACAGG
rnacentral:rRNA from 1 species